rnacentral:rRNA from 1 species
UACGGAGGGAGCUAGCGUUGUUCGGAAUUACUGGGCGUAAAGGGCGCGUAGGCGGUUCUAUAAGUCAGAUGUGAAAGCCCCGGGCUUAACCUGGGAGGUGCAUUUGAAUCUGUAGGGCUUGAGAUCGAGAGAGGAAAGUGGAAUUACGAGUGUAGAGGUGAAAUUCGUAGAUAUUCGUAAGAACACCAGUGGCGAAGGCGACUUUCUGGCUCGAUACUGACGCUAAGGCGCGAAAGCGUGGGGAGCAACAGG